AGUGAACGCUGGCGGUAGGCCUAACACAUGCAAGUCGAACGGCAGCACAGUAAGAGCUUGCUCUUACGGGUGGCGAGUGGCGGACGGGUGAGGAAUACAUCGGCAUCUACUUUUUCGUGGGGGAUAACGUAGGGAAACUUACGCUAAUACCGCAUACGACCUACGGGUGAAAGCAGGGGAUCUUCGGACCUUGCGCGAUUGAAUGAGCCGAUGUCGGAUUAGCUAGUUGGCGGGGUAAAGGCCCACCAAGGCGACGAUCCGUAGCUGGUCUGAGAGGAUGAUCAGCCACACUGGAACUGAGACACGGUCCAGACUCCUACGGGAGGCAGCAGUGGGGAAUAUUGGACAAAGGGCGAAAGCCUGAUCCAGCCAUACCGCGUGGGUGAAGAAGGCCUUCGGGUCGUAAAGCCCUUUUGUUGGGAAAGAAAAGCAGCAGGUUAAUACCCCGCUGUUCUGACGGUACCCAAAGAAUAAGCACCGGCUAACUUCGUG
rnacentral:rRNA from 1 species